rnacentral:misc_RNA from 1 species
CUGAGUGAGGGCCUUCGGGCUCGACCUCCAACCCUUUGUGAACACAUCUUGUUGCUUCGGGGGCGACCCUGCCGUUCCGCGGCGAGCGCCCCCGGAGGUCUCCCAACACUGCAUCUUUGCGUCGGAGUUUAAGUAAAUUUAAACA